rnacentral:rRNA from 1 species
AAACGUAGGAUCCGAGCGUUAUCCGAAUUCACUGGGCGUAAAGGGCGAGUAGGCGGCCGGAUAAGUUGGAUGUAAAAUCUCCCGGCUCAACUGGGAGAGGACGUACAAGACUGUUUGGCUAGAGGGCGAUAGAGGGAAGCGGAAUUCCCGGUGUAGUGGUGAAAUGCGUAGAUAUCGGGAGGAACACCAGAGGCGAAAGCGGCUUCCUGGGUCGCACCUGACGCUGAGAAGCGAAAGCUAGGGGAGC